rnacentral:rRNA from 1 species
AUUGAACGCUGGCGGAAUGCUUUACACAUGCAAGUCGAACGGCAGCACGGGUGCUUGCACCUGGUGGCGAGUGGCGAACGGGUGAGUAAUACAUCGGAACGUACCCAGUUGUGGGGGAUAACUAACCGAAAGGUUAGCUAAUACCGCAUACGACCUGCGGGUGAAAGCGGGGGACCGUAAGGCCUCGCGCACUUGGAGCGGCCGAUGUCUGAUUAGCUAGUUGGUAGGGUAAAGGCCUACCAAGGCGACGAUCAGUAGCUGGUCUGAGAGGAUGAUCAGCCACACUGGAACUGAGACACGGUCCAGACUCCUACGGGAGGCAGCAGUGGGGAAUUUUGGACAAUGGGCGAAAGCCUGAUCCAGCCAUUCCGCGUGAGUGAAGAAGGCCUUCGGGUUGUAAAGCUCUUUCGGCAGGGAAGAAACGGCCUAGGUUAAUACCUUGGGCUAAUGACGGUACCUGAAGAAGAAGCACCGGCUAACUACGUGCCAGCAGCCGCGGUAA